GCCUGGCUGGCUCAGUUGGUAGAGCAUGAGACUUAAUCUCAAGGUCAUGAGUUCAAGCCCCACACUGGGCA
rnacentral:tRNA from 1 species